rnacentral:rRNA from 1 species
AUUGAACGCUGGCGGCAGGCCUAACACAUGCAAGUCGAGCGGAGCAGGGGAGGGGGGAGUGAUGCCUAGGCAUCUGACUGGUGGUGAGGGAUAAGGACAGCAAACGGACGCUGAUACCGCAUACUAUCACAUUAGGAUAGGUCGGAUUAGGUAGAUGGUGGGGUAAAGGCACACAAAGGCGACGAUCCGUAACUGGUCUGAGAGGAUGAUCAGUCACACUGGAACUGAGACACGGCCCAGACUCCUACGGGAGGCAGCAGUGGGGAAUAUUGGACAAUGGGCGCAAGCCUGAUCCAGCCAUGCCGCGUGUGUGAAGAAGGUCUUCGGAUUGUAAAGCACUUUAAGUUGCGAGGCGUUACCUACAGAAGAAGCACCGGCUAACUCCGUGCCAGCAGCCGCGGUAAUAC